GCCAUUUUAACUUAGUGGUAGAGCGUGUGACUUUUAAUCACGUGAUCGUGGGUUUGAUCCCCAUAGAUGGUG